UAUACUAAAUGUGGUCGCCCUGUUCAUCAGUGUUCAUAGUACAGUGGAGUGACGGUUUUACCCUCCAUUUUUCUGCUGUCGUUCUAAAAGCUUCUCAAACGUUUUUGCCCUCCUUUUUUUUUUUUCCCCUACUGUUCUACAAGCUUUUCUCAUUUGAUUGUUGCCGACGAAAUAAUCUAGAGAGAGAAAGAGCGUGAGUUUGUUCGCUUUGCAAGAAGAGAUAGACAGAUCGGUUGUUGCUAUGAUUGACAGUUGUGUCGGAGCCAGGCUCUUCGAUCUAAUCUUGGCCAAAUAAAGGAGGUACUUCUAAGUUAGAGUGAAAGAUCAGUUGAUUAAUUGAGUUAAGAAGAAAGGGGCCUAGGUUCUGGACUGUAUUUUGGUCACUGAGUUUGCAAAAUCUCCUACUCCUUGCUGCAGGGAGCGUACACUUCACCAAGAGUGCUGUAACAUAGAACGCCAAAUUUGAGCAAGUACCAGAGAUGACCUGAACAAACAGAGUGAACUAAGUAUACCUUGAGACUGAUGAACUCAAGUUCAUGUGAAGCGUGAAGUGAAGCCCCAUUUUCAUGAGAAGUUGUGGAUUUGAAUAAUCGGGAAAUCGAAAGAAAUGAGUGGGGGUUUGAUAUGGGCAACGGCAGAGGACUUGGUGAGAAACAGAGGACGCGUUCUUUCUCUGUAUCGCCAGAUAUUGAGAAGCAUCAAUUCUCCGAAUCUACCUCUGAAUUUGGCAGCAAGACUCGCCAAGAAAGCAAAGGUGCGCGCAAUCUUCAUGUUGGCUUCCGAGGAGAGGUCCCUGCACAACAUUGAAGACCUCGUUGAUGCUGCCAACUACUCUCUCUCCCUCUUGAGGAAAGGAGAGAUACGCAAGUAUAUUCAAUGAGGGUUCUGAGUCUCCUUUGGUACAGUUGCAAGGGCCUGGUCACCAUGCAGCAGUCAACUUUGGUCAGUAUGUCUAUGCAGGCUACUUCCCUAACCACCCAACCAUUGCAAGGACCAAUGUGCCCACGGAGGACCCUGACGA